rnacentral:rRNA from 1 species
GACGUAGGGGGCGAGCGUUGUCCGGAUUCACUGGGCGUAAAGCGCGCGUAGGCGGCUCGUUAAGUCGGAUGUGAAAACCCGGGGCUCAACCCCGGGCCUGCACCCGAUACUGGCGAGCUGGAGGCAGGUAGGGGGAGAUCGGAAUUCCCGGUGUAGCGGUGAAAUGCGCAGAUAUCGGGAGGAACACCGGUGGCGAAGGCGGAUCUCUGGGCCUGUCCUGACGCUCAGGCGCGAAAGCUAGGGGAGCAAACAGG